rnacentral:misc_RNA from 1 species
GCUCAUCCAAUGACUUAUCAUCAGUAUCAACACGACGUUCGUACUGAACGGAGUUCCAAUUUCAAAUUAUUUAAAAAGUUUGUGAUAAAAAGUUUUAACUGAAAAGUUUUGGAGUGAAGUUAGCGUCAAGUUGGAUUUUUUAUACGAUUGUUUAUAUUAUUAGAUAAAAGAUGCCGUCACUAUCACUGAAGAUCAUUCUAGAAGAUGGAGCGGUCACGCGAACGAUGAAAUUCCCAAACGGCUGCACCGUCGCUGACGCUGUGCAGAUUGUUGAAGAAAAAGUUCUCACAGGGGGCGCUGGGAAAGACUAUGGACUCUUUCUCACCUCAGCAGAUGAUGAGCUCUCAGGGUGCUGGUUGGAAGAUCCUCGGCGAUUAGACUACUACCUGCUGAAGGAUGGAGAUAGCCUUCACUACCGAUGCAGAGUUAGGACCCUCAAGAUUAGAAUGUUGGAUGGGUCAGUGAAGACGAUGCAAGUGGACGAGAGCAAAUCCGUGGAGACGCUCAUGAUGAACGUGUGCUCCAAGCUGGGGAUCACCAACCACGAGGAGUAUGGGCUGUGUCGUGAAGAUGAGCCUAUGGAGGAUCAUCCAGGCACAGGCACCCUGACCUUGAAGAGGAAACACCAGCAUAAAGAGAAGGAUGCGGCCCUGCAGCAGCUCAGCAAGAAGCUCAAAACUGAUGACAAUGUGGAAUGGCUAGAACAGCACAAGACCCUCAGAGAGAUGGCAGUUGCCCCCACAGAAACACUCCUCCUAAAGAGACGGCUCUUCUACUCUGACCGAAAGGUGGACGCGAGAGACCCAGUGCAACUCAACUUACUGUACGUGCAAGCAAGAGAUGCUGUUUUGGAGGGAAGACAUCCUGUCACUGAAGAGCAAGCGGUGCAGUUCGCCGGGAUUCAGUGCCAGGUGCAGUAUGGCGACUUCCAGGAAGACAAACAUAAGCCUGGCUUCAUUGAAAAUCUCAGCGAGUUCCUACCCCAUACCUACGCCAACUCCUGGGGGAUGGAGAAGAAAGUCAUCAAAGAACAUAAGAAACACUCAGGCCUCACCCAGUUGGAGGCCAAACAUCUUUAUACUAAGACUGCGAGAGAUUUACCUACGUAUGGAGUCACUUUCUUCCUUGUUAAGGAAAUGCAAAAAGGCAAGAAGAAGCUGGUGCCCCGUCUGCUCGGCAUCAACGCCUCCUCAAUCCUGAGACUGGAUGAGACAACCAAGGAGGUACUCCAGGUCUGGCCUCUCACCCAGGUGAAGACAUACAAGGCCGGGAAAGGGGAAAUGUUCACUCUCAAUUUUGGAGAUUACAGUGAAAAAGAAUACUGCGUAAAGACAAACGACGCGUACCGUAUCAGAGAUAUUCUGCAGGGCUACAUCGACCUGAUUCGUAAAAGAAUGGAAGCGGCUUUCAAUAACUCGGGAACUGAAGGGGGCAUCAUACACCAAGCUACUGUGGAGAGUGGGAAAGGAUCCACGAUGGAGGUAGUGUCACACUCAGCACAAAAAACAGUGGAGACCUCAUUUGUUGGGCCCAGCAAAAUUAUUACAGCAGAACCAGGUUCUAAAGCUCAAGCGGUCGGUGCACAGAUUUUCACUGCACAUUCACUGAUCGUGAAGAACAAACAGACAAACGAACAGACUGCUAAGCUUACCGGUGUAACUAUGAGAGGAGAGAUGUCUAUCGACACGGGAAGGAAACUGAACGAUCUAAAUGCAAACGCUGUCAAGAUUGUGACUCUUCUCAACGAUCCAAAUCAGGGCAACAUAGAAGCCGCAAAGCGAAUAGUAGAAGACAUACUUAGAGACUAUCCUACAGUAGUUGCAGGUGUAAAACACUGCAUAGACCAUCAAACUGACGAAGCUGCCAAAAAGAAACUCACGUUCGAGCUGAACGAAUUAAGUGACAAUGUGAACCAACUGAACGGCUUUAUGAACCCUCAGGAUGCUCAAGAGGCUGCAAUGAGAAUAGCUGAUCUCACAACCCAGAUGUACUUCGCUCUUGAUAGCAAUGUGAAGAAACGUAGUAUGUUGGUCAGGAAUUCUCGACAGAGCUUCAUAGAAGAUGAGAAGACCCAGGCGACGUUACAGCGAGCCUCAUUUAUCAACUGCGUGGGUGCAGCUAACCAUGCUAUCGAUGACGCAAGAGACGCCUUGACACAGAAAUAUGACGGGCCAGCGCUAAGUCCUAAAGAAGUGGAAGACCUAGAACGCUCAGCGCGCGACCGGCUGGCUAGACUCAAUGCUGCCAUAGCCAGACUUACUGCAGCACAUUCUGACCCAAAGAAUAUAGAUUAUGCAGCCGCUGUCAGUGCAAUGAACACUAUCAAAGAACUGGUACCGAAACUAGCUAAAGAUGCUCAGUUACUUGCGUCCGUUAAUGAUGGUAAGGACAGAAGUGGUCUGCUUAAAGAAAUGCAAGAGUUAUUAGAUGCUACAGCAAUGAUAGCUCAGAAUGUUGGCUGUGAUGAUUUACAGAAAAUGCACGAUGUAGCCGACAAUUUUGCUAAGAAAUCACGUAGAUUGCAAUUUAUUUUUGGACAUGGAAAUGCAAGAGACAAGGAGAAUGUGAUUAAAGAUUUAUCCAAAGAGAUAGAUGAUAAAACCCGGCUGCUGGUAGCUUCUUUGAACGAUCUCGCUGGAGAGGUCAAUGACCCCAUGGCAGCGAAGGUCAUUAACGCUGCCCAUAAGUGUGUCAACGCUGUUGCCGCCUUAACAUCUUGCGCUGAGCUGACAGCUUCAUCGAUCUACGAGCCAUACUGCCGAAGCGCUCUAUUAGCAACCCUUGAAGACCUGUCAUCAUCAGAGAAACUUCUUGAUUCUUCCUACAAAUCCUUACUUGAUCAGCCUGAGGGCCGUAAGCGGGCAGAUGCCAUAAGGAAUCAGAAUGCUGAUCUCAGGAAGGCUUUGGAUAAACUUAGGAGCCAGCUAGAUGAAAACAAUCUCGAAAAUAAGAGAAGAGAUCUUCAUGUAGCUGUUUCUCAAGCUCAGGAUACUUUAAAACAGCCUUUAACGUCAAAGGCUCUGACACCAGCCGAAGAGAAGCAGCUUAAAGAAUCACUGGCCAAGAAACUUGCUGAACUCAACGCCGCCAUUGCUGGUCUGAUAAACUCUACAUAUGCACGUGAUCCAUCGAACAUUGACCAUGGUGAGGCUGAAUUAUCCAUGGAAGUCAUUCAGCGGUUACUACCAGAAGUUGUCGAAGACGUAAGAGCGUUGAACAGCGGUAAGAGUCCCGCCGAAACCCGUGCUUUGAUGGAUGACCUGAAAGCUCUGUGCGUUGCUACCAACGCACUUGCCGACGGUCACAAUUGCAAGAAUCCUGGGGUACUGAAAACCAUUGCGGACCAGUAUGCCAAAUCAGCUUCCAGACUAGCUUUUGUAUGCACACCACCUACUUCAGCGCAAAAGAAUCAAGAGCAUGUAGUAGACAAGGCUAAGGAUGUGCUAGACCGCUCUACAAUGAUGGUGGAGGCAGUAGACAAACUGGUGAAGAGCCACCCUGAUGACUUCCGGAACAGGGUUGUGGAUGAGAAGGCACAACAGGUGGAAAGGGCAGCAAGUGCAUUGCUUGGGACUGCUCAGGUGACAGCGUCAACCCUGAACACAUCACAUUGUCGAGCAGCACUCCAUCAAGCUGCUGCAGAUCUGUCAAGAGCUAUAUCCCAGCUGGACACAGCUACACAUGAAUUAGUUGGAGCAGACCUUUUGGGACAGCAAAGGAAGAACUUCGAUGAGGCAGUGAGGGAGCUGAUGGCUGCUAUCAGUGGAUUAGAAGAGGAUUCGAAGCAACUUAACAGAACAAUGUCUGCAGAGAAAGAGAAAAAUAGAUUGAAGUUCGUCGCCUCACGCUUGGCGGCGAAAUCUGCUCUCGACGGUGCAGUUGAAGAAUUAAAUAAGACUGGAAAGGUUGCUCCUCUGGCCCCACCUCAAGCGGCUCUGCUUCAAGCCAGGCUCGCUGACAAACUAGCCACUCUCAAUGCUGCUAUUGCUACACUCCUCACCGCCACUAGAGAUCCUGAAAAUCCAGAUUACGUGUUAGCAGAAUCGGCCACCGCUACUAUACAGGAGCUCGUACCAGACAUUGUUAAAGAUGCGAAGACUCUACCCGCUGGGAAAGACCAAUCAGCUCGCGCCAAUAUGCUUGAGCUAUUGCGAGAGCUCUGUGAAGCCACUAAAACAAUCAGUGGCGGGGACAAUGGCGGAAAAGAAGAGGAACUACAAGAUGCCGUCGAAAAGUACACCAAAGCCUCAGGAAAACUGGUGUAUACUUUCAAUCCUCGUGCAAACGCCGCAAAGGAAGAUCAGAUCAUUGACUUGACAAAAUCCACAUGUCAGAAGACGUCAGAACUCCUAGAGAAGGUUUACGAUCUGGCUCAGAAUAUUGAAGGUCAGGUGGCGGCAGAUUUGGACGAUCAAGGCUCUAGGCUGGCUGAUGCUGCACAGAAUCUGCUGACGACUGCUGAGAUAACCGCACCAUCCAUAUCCUCUCCUCUCUGCCAAUCCUCACUCCUAACCUCCGUCUCUGCGUUAUCCUCAUCAGUAGACCACCUGUUCUCGUCUCCUGUGCUGACGUUACCCGAGCAUGCUGCCAGGCGACAACAGCUGCAGAUGGCCAGGGCUAAAGUAGAUCAGGAGAUUGAGAAGUUGAAGGAGGCAUUGAAGGAUGAGAGAGUAUUGGAUGCUGCAGCUAUUGAAAAGGCAAAGAAGGAGAAACUACGUUUCAUCGCAUCAAUGGCAUCAGCAGAAGUGGCAAUCCAAAACGCUGAAAAAGAAAUCACUGAGCCAUACGGAAAGCCUUUGCCAGCUUCAGAAGCAGCAGCUCUCCAGGAUUCUCUGUCAAAUAGACUAGCAUCUCUAAACGCUGCUAUCAAUUCUCUUGUAGUAGCCACAAGUGAUCUCAACAAUCCAGAUUAUCAAGAAGCUGAAACUGCCUCAAAAACCAUUCGAGAAUUGAUACCGGAUAUUGUGAAAGAUUCUAAGAAUCUUAGCAGUACAAUGGAUCAACAGGCAAGGAAAGACUUGCUGGAACAAAUCAAGGCGCUUUGCGAGGCAUCACGCUUGCUAGGAGCGAGCUCAAAAUCAGACCAAUUGAGUCCCGAGGAGCUGAACAAAGCUGCAACACAGUACUCCUUGGCUUCUGGGAAGCUUAACUUCGUUUUCAAUCCUCACGUGGACCAGAAGAAAACACACCAGAUUAUCGACACUUGCAAGGCGGCAUGCAUCAAGACAUCUGAAAUGCUGCUGAAUGUCCAUGAGCUAGCCAAACAGGCUGGAGAAGAUGGCCCCGCUUUAGACACUAAGGGUUCGCAUGUUUCUGACGCGGCUCGCUCUCUGCUCACCACUGCACAGCUCACAGCGCACUCUGUCAACUCCCCCCGCUGCCAAACCGCGCUUCUCGAAUCAUCAGACCGACUUACAUCCUCCAUCGAAGACCUUCAAACCAUAUGGACGCCCGUCGUCAAAGCUCCGAAGUUCAAGGCCAUUGGGGAAGAACUAGCCAAGGAGAAACAGGCCGUCGAUGGAGAGAUAGCAACACUUAGGAAAUUGGUUAAAGAAGGAGCAGGAAUAAAGGGCAAGAAACCACCAGUUCCGGCCAGAACUGAUUCUGAAAAGACAGGCAAGAAACCCGAGGCGCGAGUGAUUGGUGCUACCAAGGAGUUCCUAGACAGACUUCGACUAGAGGGCAGUAUGGAGAAAGAAAGCUGCGGUGAAGCAGUGAAGUCACCGGUGUCGGCAACGCAUCCUCAAACUGAUGAGGAAAAACGAGCUAAGCUCCAGUUCGGCAAAUGCAUCGACGAUGCACGGAAAAAUAUUGCCUCUACUGAACAGAUAUUGCAAUCGGCCUUCGUUGAUGACGGGAAAGACCGUGCACCUCUCGACGACGCUCACAUCCAGGCCCUCAACAAACAGAUGGAACACAAGGUGGCGAGAGCCAACGCUGCUACCGCUCAUUUGCUGGCUUGCCGAAGUGGAGACAAUCCGGAUUACAAACUUGGAACGAAAUGUGUUACUGCAAUUUCUGACCUCAUGCCAACCAUUGCUGCAGAUGCCAUAAGGCUCGCAGACCAGAAAGAUCCAGUAGGGAGAAAGCUCUUCCUUGGAGAUACGAUGGGUCUCUGCACCGCUUCGAAGAAUCUUUGCGACACAGCUAAAACCGAUAGAAAGAAACUAAAAGAUGCCGCCGUUGAAUUCGGUAAUCAUUCAUCGAAGUUACUAUACGCAAUCAGCACCGACAUUGAUCCAAGCCAGGAGAAAGAGAUUCUGUUACGAGUGAAAUCGGCCGGUGACGUGGCUUGCCGCGUGGCGGAACAUUCAGGUGAAGCCCCGACGGCAGGACGCUGCGCGAGCCAGGCUACUCUGCUGAUGUACACUGCCAAGCUCGUAGCCCCCUCAAUCCAAGACCCAGAAUGUCAGGACGCGCUCACCACAGCCUCCAAAGACCUGACUGACCACCUGAAGACCAUCCCCUCAACCACUCCUAAGCUGACACAGGAGAUCAUGGAGCUGGAGAAGAUUCUAGAAGCCUUGAGGAGUGACGUGGCAAGUGGAAACCUGGUGAAGAAGAAGGAGGAGAAACUGGUGAUUGAAGAUACGCCAUUGAGGAAGCUGACUGCGCAGAUUAUUGAGGAUUGUAAGCAAAACGCCGAGUGCACGUCCAACCCCGCAGCAGAGCGGAAGGCCAUGGCUGACUUCGCUAACAAACUCUCUGACGGUCUCAGGAUCAUGGAUGUGGCCAAUGCCAGGUGUAAGAAGGAACCUCAUGAUCUAAGAAGACGCGAGGAGUUAGAAGACGCAGUGUUAAACUUGCAGCAUCUGGUGCUGCAAUGCCGACCACGAGGCGGUGCUGUUAACGAAGCGCAGAGCAAUAUCGUCAACCUUUCGGACUUCCUAACCGACGUGUCCACAAACGCCACUCGCCUCCAACGCGCCGCUCACGCAGCAGAAAACAGCGCCGGUCCGCACUCACGCGCAGCGGGGGCCGUGCGCGCGCAGUGCCAAGAGUUAUGUGACGCAGCUGCUAAGGCUACUCCUAAAGAGCUUGAUGCACCUAUGGUUGACGUAGACCAUGCUGCUAAGGAAUGUGUCAGCAGAGUCCAAAAGAUCAACACAACGAUUGAAUGCUGUCCCGAAGGCGCUGGCAAAACUAACCUCCAGAAAGAAGCGCGCCCACUCAACGAGAGCUGUACAUUGCUUCAAUACGCAUCUCAAUCGGCGUUGGCAACGGCACAAUGUGCGGCGCUGGAUGAAGCGCUCAACGAUCUCACAGAUCUGGAGAACAGGAUAGACAAAAUGCUGCAACCUAGGCAAGGAGAGAAAUUUACAGUGCAGACUGUCCCCUCACCUUCUCUGCUAGCGUCUCGCGCCCGUCUCGCUACAGCAGCUGCAGGCGUGAACCGUGAUGCUCAAGAGCUUGCACCAGCUUUCACCCGUUACGUUGCUAAUAUGAGGGCACAUGUUGAUGUUGCUGAUGAGCAGAAGAGGAGGAGGUUGGCUGAUCACCUCAAGAAGCUCCAAGAUCGGUUGAAACUCCUAACUUUGGAAACAGGAAGACAGGUGGUAACGUGGAGACCUGCCAACGAGGGUGAUGUUAUCGCCAUCACUGACGACAUUCUCAAGGAAUUAGAUAGCGCUGAGGAAGUAAUCGGAUUAAAAACCGAUAAGAACAACAACAUAGCUUACGAAGACUUAAAGAAACUACUUCUGCCAGUAGAAACUUACAGGAUGGAAGGAGAUAAGAAGAAACUAGAAGCAAAACUAGAACCCUACGCCACAAAGCUCAACUCUAUGGCCGAGACUUUAACGCUCAGUAUCGGCAAGCCAGGGUCCCUCGCUCGCACUGCCCACGUUACUGCGGAAUCUGCAGUCCAACUGACAGCGUUGGCUAAGGCCUUGAAGAGCGACGAGGACCCGACGAGGAACAGCAAAAUAGACGAAGUGUCUCAAGAGUUAUGCUUCGUAACUUACAACCUACUGAAAACUGCAGAGACGGCGAACAAUGAGCCAAGCACUUUCGAAUCUCGAAGAAGGAUGUUAGAUGCAUGCCGAUCGCUAAGUGAUGCCAUCAACAAAUUGGUAAGAGCCUCGUCAAGCGGAGACAAGUUACAACGCGAGUGCAACGAGAUGAACAGGGCUCUUCAACUGCGCCAGAGCACAAUACAAGCCCGGCCCACAUGCGCGUUGCCGUACGCCGAAUGCGUAUCUGCCUUGCAGACACAACAUGAAGCUAUUAAGAACUUAAAGAGUGAGGAGCCAGUAUCCAGGGAAGAAUUCAGUACCUCCCUCGACUAUUUGGCGUCGGCUGUCAACAACAACGUGGAUUAUGCCGAGCACUGCGCUUACUUGUUGUCAGUAUCGGAGCAGCAUCCAGAGUUAUCCAAGGAUGGUAUGGUGGACACAGAGCGGAUUCAGAAGCUGAUAGCAGCUCUGCAAGACUCCUGCUUCAGGACCACCAGACCGGGCAUCGUGCACCAGGCAAAAGAGGAAUCAUCUCUUCUCUCCAAGCAGCUCUCCGACCUCAAACAAGUUAUACAGGACAGUUCAUCAAAAAUCAAAGACCAGGGAGUCAAGCAGCGUCUCCUGGAAGCUAGCAGUAAGGUGGAAGCAACUGGAACCAAGCUAAAGGGAGAGUUGAACAAGGCUGAUGUUUCUGUGGAAACUCUGACACCUACAGCGUUUGCGACGAUCGAGGCGCUAUCCGCUCUGCGCAGUGUCACUGAACACCCUGCGCUCACGCCGGUGGCGGCACCAUCGCCUGCUGCACAGAAACGGGCCGAUGAAGUCAUACAACAGUCCAAGGAGCUCCUAACACGGGCGUCAGGUCUGAUGAGAGCGAUCAAGACUUCAGAAAGCCAGCAAGCCAUGACAUGGGUGAUGUUCAACACCUACACAAAGGGAGUCAUCGAGAUUUCUGAGAAAUUGGUCACCUGCGCCAAGGAAAAUGGACAACAAGCAGGCUUGAUAGAAGGAGCUAUAGAAGAAGAUGAAGGGGACAUGACAGCAAUGAGCUACGUUCAAACGCAGGUCCUCAUCGCGACCAAAUGGCUCCAGAAACCGUCGUUCAAAGCUCAGAUUAAGACUGACGGAGAACAGGCUACGAGAAACGUCAUCGAUAUUGGGAAAAAGGUGAUGGAGCACCAAAAAGAAGCAGACAGAGAGGAGAUGAAGCACUUAAUAGAGGAAUGCGAACAACUUUUGCAGCAAUGCAGUGCACACUACACUAUGGAGACCGGCAGUGUUCUGAUGGACCGUCUGAAAGACCUGGCCAAGGCAGUGGACCGGAGCAUCGUGACCAUGGUUGUGGAAGACCUGUUAGAAGAUGAGGAACCACUGGCUGACAUGGAUAUCAUGAUUGAUGCUGAGAGAGACGAAGCAAAGCGCAAGUUCAUUCUAGAGCGAAAGAUAGCUGAUCUCCUUGCACACCUGGGCCGAGUGACAAAGACAGCACGAGUCCUCGCCGACGUGCAAGGCGGUGAUGGUACGGAGUUGCGUCAGUGCACGAACCAGACUGAAUUGUUCGCUCCGAUGCUGGUGAAAGCUGCUGAAAAGAGAGUCAUGCAUCCUACAGAGACGAGGAAACAAUGCAGCGCAUGAAAGAAGAGUCUACUGCUCACCAGAACGACCUGCAAAAGUGUUCAAGCACCUCUACAGCUAUCAGAAAGCUAGCUCACCGUGUGAUCAACGUCAGCAUGUCAUCACAGAACGCACAGCGCGACCCAGAACUGAUGAGGGCUCUUGCGGCAGCUCAGCAGAAACUCAAAGAAGCUGAGCCAGCGAAGACUUUGCGAGCUAGCAAGCUG